CUUUCUGAGGGAGGAAGGACAGUCAGUGGCCUCAAGCAUUUUCAGGGAAACUGAAGCUGAGCAGGCGAUUUCCGAUUAGGGGACCGGGAGACUGGCGUGCUCAUCGUUUAAGUGCAUUUGCUGUAAUCACUGCUGCCAUCAGCAGAAACAGAGCUCAAGAAAGAACCAUGUUUACAUCCGUCCUUCAUCGACCCUCACAGGACAGGGCAGUGUUGGGGUUGAAGUCCUGUGUUCUGAUCGGUGAUUCUCAUGGUGACCAAGCGAGGAAGAAGGCCCGCUCUUCCAACACCAUGGCUUCUCUUCUGGGGCACACGAGGUGAAACGGGCUGUCCUCGCGAUGUCUGAGACCGGGCGUCUUCAACAGGCCCUGCUUAACAUUAUGAUUAAACAGGCCUUUCUUACCAUUAUUAUUAAACAGGCCGUUUCUCAACAUUAUUAUUAAACAGGCCCCUUCUUAACAUUAUUAUUAAACAGGCCUUUCAUAACAUUAUUAUUAAACGGGCCCCUUCUUA
rnacentral:lncRNA from 1 species